rnacentral:lncRNA from 1 species
GAUGGAUCUGCAGUGCGGUUGAUCUACAGUUUCGCGAACGACACUUCUUUUUAGGAGGGGAGAGUGUAACACACUGAACUUUAGCAAAUUGCGAGGUUCGAGUGUUUGAUUUGUGAACUAAGCCUUUUUGGGUUUUCUGUAUGGUCGUCGACUGUGUUUCGACCUAUGACUCGCGUCCCGUGGAGUGAGGAUAAAAACCUAGCACCAAAACCUCUAAAAAGAAGGAUUUGGGCUGCUCUCGGGUUGACUCUGCAGGGCAGAGUACCGGUACUGCAUCGGUUUGGUACAGGUACUUGACCUGGUACCGGUACUGCAUCGCGAUGAUACCGGUACGCAGUGUGUUUUCUCACUUACCCGAGGCUCGAGUUUGGCAGUUUUAUUGGCCUGCUACCGGCACUCUUUCCGCGUACCAGUACGCAGUGUAAAAAAAUUGUAGUUCGUGCAGUUUGCAAUUUUUGGUGUUUUGAGGGGCUUUUUGGGUUUUGUUACAACAUGUAUAUAACAACCCUCACCCCCUGUCACGCCCCGCGACCACCCGCCUAUUUGGCUGGGUCGCGGCGCCGCCGACAGAUCGCCGAACGGACAGGAUUUCCCCUGUACUGCGGACAGAGUCUCCCCUGUACGUUCAAGGCAUAGCAAUCAAUACAAUGUACAAAGUUCCAACCAGGAACGCAUUUCAAUCAAGAUUGCAUAAUGGAAGGUAUCAAACAACAUAACACAUCUUAUGUUAUUACAUGCAUUCACAUUCAUACAUUUU